CAGUAUUUUAAUAUUCAUAUGAGAUACUGGACAUCAUUCCACACCAAUCCAUCAACAGAGGAACGCUGGGCUGUUCGUUGGUACCUGCUGCUGGAAAACAAAGGAUUGUUGGUGACUGAAAAGUUAUGCAUCCAUGCUGUAAUAACUCAAGAAAAAUCCUGUGCUGAUUCUCUGCUGGAUGAGACCAUGGGAGUGAAUAAUGGAUCGACUCUGCUUGAAGAAGAAAAAAAGCUGGAAGCAUCCAAAGACAGAAAAACAAUCUACAGACUUGGGAUCAGAGAGAUGUUUGAAGUCUUGGUGGCAGAUUUCAUCAAAUUAGAGCAAAAUCUAUCAAUUCAUUGAUCUGCCUGUGUCUGAUGCAACCCAUACUCAUCAACCAUGCAGGGCAACAAGUCUGCUAUGUCUUAAAGCCAUCAUCCAAAUAAAGCAGUCCAAAGCAACAACACAACACAAAAAGAGAUGCUGUAUUUCAACAGGAAUAUUCUGCUGGCCUGUUGGACUGCUUUGGGUGAAAUGGUCUUUUAUGAAAUUCCCAGGCUUGCCAAAGUCUCCUCCUGCUGAAAUGUAAAAAAGGUCUAUAAAUGUUUAAGUGUUUUUCUUUUUUCCCUUUGUUGUUGUGUCGGCUCUCUCAGGUCACUACAGACAGCUGGCUCAUUACUUCUGUUUGCUCUGCUUUCUACUGACCAUCAUCAUUCUGCUCCAGACUCUCUGCUGUGAGUGCCUCUUUGCAUCUAUAAAACUCACUGACCAAUGGGAACGGGUUACUGAAAAAAGGAGAGGGAGAUAAUGUGCUGAUAUACAUAUAAGACCUUAACUGAUAUUUUGAAUAUUUUCAUAUAAUUUACAAUAAUUUACAAAGUUGAGUUUAUCUCUACACCGCACCUGCCUGUACAUGGCAUUUAACCACUUUAGUCUAGCUCAGUGGUGACUGAGACACUGCCUAUCCUCGCCGGCCAAAUCCUAUACUCAAAGAUUUAAAGAAAAUAAAGACAGAAAGAGUGGAUUUCAUUAGUGAAGUAACACACAUCAUGUUGGAUAAAAACGUAGGGCCUUGUUUGAGAGUGAGUGUAAUAGAUCCUCGCUAAUAGUGGAGCUCAGAAUAAUAUGAUUUUUAAAGUUCUCCAAGCGAAUGCUAACAACAUAGCAAAAUUUGGCUGUGUUGUUAUGUAGAGUGGACCCGCUUCACACUGGCAAAUGUAACUUGUUGCCCAGGUGUUUCCUUUUGCAUCGAUUGCGCUCACACAAAGGCGUUGUGUGUAACUAGCCUUCUUUCUUUCACUCUUUCCAUCUGCUGAUACACAGAUGUCGAGGUGUGCUGGCUGCCACACAAAAACGGCUCAUCUAAAUGAAAACAAAGACGCAUAUAUUACUUACAGCAGCGUGAAAAGCUUGGUUGGCUUCAAAAUGAACACAGGACCAGAAAAUAACUGCAGCUGUUCAGAGAAAACGCAGUGAAGAGGAGCCUCAAAACAACAGUCACCACUCAAGAGAUUGCAGUGGUUCAGCUCACACUGGUGUCUCAGUCCCAGUCGGCCCUGCAGGAAAACAAACUGAGAGGUUUGAGAAUCGGGCUGGAGAAGCUCAACCAGUCAUAUCAGCUCCUGUUCUCCCAGUACCCUUCUCUAAACCAGUACUGCCCAAUCAGCAACGCUACCACUGGUGGUGAGUCUGGGUGCUUUUUUAUUCAGAGCUACAAGUGUUAAGAGAAAAUCCAGAGAAAAAAAUCAUUUUUUACACCCACAAAAAUCACAACUUUUCGAAGAUGUUCCUGUGACAGUUCCUCGUACACACUGUGUCUGUUUUCAGGCAUUUCUAUGGCCAGACUUCAAAACUGACGCAUCAGUGGAUAACUGGGUGGUUUUAGUGUAAAGGUUUACCUGAGGCUUGGCUCUAAUUAUAAGGCUGUAACAGAAAGGUAAAGAAGCUAAUGAAUCCCUUAUAUAAAGGUCGAGUAUUUAACUACAGACGAGUUUGUGAGAGAGAAAUGUCAGUUUCAGUUUGGUCAUUUUGUCCCAGUCACGCUGCCAAACAAGUGGCAGAUUAAAUAUAGACAACUGUUUACAAAAAAACCCAUUUAACAAAGAAGCUCUGAUUUCCAUUAUGCUGUGAAAAAGACAAACAACUCGAGCGUGAUUCAGAUUCAGAUAACAGAUCCACUUUGAGCUUUUGUGUCAUAUUACAUAUGACGAGUUUCCAGUAUGUUAGAUAAACUGAUUUAAACCAGUGAAACUGGAUGUGUAAUAUUAGUCUGUUUGUUUUCAGUCUGUAAUCAGUGAUAUAAAUAAAGUAGAAAACAUAUUUAUACCACUUACUUAUGACACAACAUAAAAACACACUACCAUAAAACUAUUACAGGCUUUUCAGAAUGAAACCUGACAUUAACACCUUCAGACUGUCGGGCUGUAGUAACUUUUAAAUGGUUGUAGCUAAUACACAAUCCAAAUUUAAGUCUUGCUUGUGGAGCACUGUAUUGUUGUUUAAUCAUUUACACACUCAAAAUGCAGUUUGUUGAAAAAUAUGUCAUGAUUUCAGUGCUGUUGUGAGAUUAUUUCAUACUGAGAACAGUAAUACUGUACUGAGAUGUACAGGAUGCUAGAAAAUUUCAAAUCACUGCUGAAACUUACCCUGGCUUGACAUUUAAGGUCUUUUGAAGCUUAAAGUAGAUUAAAACAAACUUUGAGGGAUGAGU